GGGCCGGUAGAUCAACGGCUAGAUCGCUUGCCCUGCAAGCAAGAGGCUCUGGGUUCAAAUCCCAGCCGGUCCA
rnacentral:tRNA from 1 species